GAAAUCAUUGAAUUGUAUUUAUGAUCAAGCCAAAGCGUGGACGUAUGCUAGUAUUUGACUCCGCUGAUUUCGAUCCGAAGACUUAUCAGGAAUUCGAGGGCAUCCUCAACAUGUUUUAGAACACCCCGAAAAAAAUAUGGUGAUGCGCACACACUAUCCAUGCCACAAGCAACCUACAGGUUCUGUGUACUGUGGAUACUACGUGUGCGAGCACGCGGGAGGUACACAAAAGAUCCCGAACUGGAUCAACGGCCACUCCACAAUGGUCCACUCCAUGAGCAACAACUUCUUUUUAUAGUCGACGAUUUAUGUCACUUCAUUUUGCAUGAAGUGGUCCAUAUAGGUGGAGAAUUUGUUCACCCUGAGCAUGAAUUAUCACUCGACCCAAAAUAUGCAAGCCUCCGUCAGUGGGAAAAUCAAGAACUUCGGGCCGGCUCUACUAGCGUUUCUCAAUGUAAAUGAUGUCUGUACUCUAUGCACUUUUAUGAUGGAUGUAAUCUAAUUAUGCAUGUAAUGAUACUUUUAUAUGAUUUUAUGUUGAAUUUUUAAUUAGUGAUGUUUACGAAAUAUAUUCAUCAUC